CACCCAUAGCACCAACCGUCCCCAGAGCACCACCAGGACUCCUGGCACACGUAUAAAGGCAGACAGGCCAGGACACCCCUGGCAGUGUGCUGCGCAUCGCCGGGUGUUGGACUUCUUGUGGCAGAGACAUCAGGAGCCACCAUGUCAGGUCGAGGCUUCCAGGGGCUGAAGGAGCAGGCAGAAGGAGCUGCAAAAGAUGCUGCCAGUGCGUUGGGACGGGCCACUCAGGAUGCAGUCAGCCAGAUCACAGACGCCAGCCAGAAAGCUGUGGAUAAGGCUUGUAAGACAGCGCAGGAUGGUGUAGAAAAAGCAGCCGGACAAGCUGCAGAAGCAGUGUCUGGCUUUGGGAAAAAAUGUGGAUUUAAGAAAUGAUGUAGAUGUAAGCAAACAGUAUUGCAUGUAAAAUUCACCCUUGCAAUUCCCGACUCUUCUGUUUAGGAAGCAAAAGCUAUUUGAGAUCUGGAUAACUGCUCUCUCCCCACAUGCAAAAUCAUAAGGCAGAAUGCUCUCCUCAUCCUUCCCAUAGGGAAAAACACAUCUCGGUGUGUCUCGUAACAUCUGCUCACCAUGUUCUGUUCAAAGUGGACCAUAAGGCUUUGGCAGUUACUGCCCUGCUCUUGUAGCAGUGCAACAGUGAUUGCCACAUCUGUUCAAUGUACUCACAGAAACAGCAGAGCUGGUACUAUUCUGGAGUACAGGAAUAUCCGUGUGAUUAAACUCAGUUCCCUUCCAGUAAUGAGAAGUUAAGCUGCUGUUGUAUUUCCUAUCAGUUGUUUGCUAAUUCCAUUUUGCUGUAUUUCCAGAGUAACAUAAAUAAAAUUACUAUUAAGACUUUCACUACUAGGA